rnacentral:rRNA from 1 species
CCUACGGGUGGCAGCAGUGGGGAAUAUUGCGCAAUGGGCGAAAGCCUGACGCAGCGACGCCGCGUGAGGGAUGAAGGUCUUCGGAUCGUUAACCUCUGUCAGCAGGGAAGCACGGUCACUGUGCUAAUCAGCAGUGAAUUGACGGUACCUGCAAAGGAAGCACCGGCUAACUCCGUGCCAGCAGCCGCGGUAAUACGGAGGGUCCGAGCGUUAAUCGGAAUUACUGGGCGUAAAGCGGUCGUAGGCGGUAUGUCAAGUCAAGGGUGAAAUCCCCGGGCUCAACGUGGGAACUGCCUUUGAAACUGGCAGACUGGAGUGUGUGAGAGGAUAGUGGAAUUCGAGGUGUAGGAGUGAAAUCCGUAGAUAUCUGGAGGAACACCAGUGGCGAAGGCGACUAUCCGGCACAUCACUGACGCUGAGGAGCGAAAGCGUGGGUAGCAAACAGGAUUAGAUACCCCGGUAGUC